UACGGAGGGAGCUAGCGUUGUUCGGAAUUACUGGGCGUAAAGCGCGCGUAGGCGGCUUUGUAAGUUAAGAGGUGAAAGCCCGGAAGCUCAACUCCGGGAACUGCCUUUAAGACUGCAUCGCUUGAAUCCGGGAGAGGUGGAGUGGAAUUCCGAGUGUAGAGGUGAAAAUUCGUAAGAUAUUCGGAAGGAACACCAGUGGCGAAGGCGG
rnacentral:rRNA from 1 species